CGAACGCUGGCGGCGUGCCUAAUACAUGCAAGUAGAACGCUGAAGGAGGAGCUUGCUUCUCCGGAUGAGUUGCGAACGGGUGAGUAACGCGUAGGUAACCUGCCUGGUAGCGGGGGAUAACUAUUGGAAACGAUAGCUAAUACCGCAUAAGAGUAGAUGUUGCAUGACAUUUGCUUAAAAGGUGCAAUUGCAUCACUACCAGAUGGACCUGCGUUGUAUUAGCUAGUUGGUGGGGUAACGGCUCACCAAGGCGACGAUACAUAGCCGACCUGAGAGGGUGAUCGGCCACACUGGGACUGAGACUCGGCCCAGACUCCUACGGGAGGCAGCAGUAGGGAAUCUUCGGCAAUGGACGGAAGUCUGACCGAGCAACGCCGCGUGAGUGAAGAAGGUUUUCGGAUCGUAAAGCUCUGUUGUAAGAGAAGAACGAGU
rnacentral:rRNA from 1 species